GAUGAAGAACGUAGCGAAAUGCGAUAAGUAAUGUGAAUUGCAGAAUUCAGUGAAUCAUCGAAUCUUUGAACGCACAUUGCGCCCGCUAGUAUUCUGGCGGGCAUGCCUGUCCGAGCGUCAUUUCAACCCUCAAGCCCCCGGGCUUGGUGUUGGGGAUCGGCGAGCCUCCGCGCCCGCCGUCCCCUAAAUCUAGUGGCAGUCUCGCUGUAGCUUCCUCUGCGUAGUAGCACACCUCGCACUGGGAAACAGCGCGGCCACGCCGUUAAACCCCCAACUUCUGAACGUUUGACCUCGGAUCAGGUAGGAAUACCCGCUGAACUUAAGCAUAUCAAUAAGCGGAGGA
rnacentral:misc_RNA from 1 species